rnacentral:ncRNA from 1 species
UUAGUGAGGCCUUCUGACUGGCGCCGAUACUCUGGCAACAGAGCGCCGGAUGCCGGAAAGUUGGUCAAACUUGAUCAUUUAGAGGAAGUAAAAGUCGUAACAAGGUUUCCGUAGGUGAACCUGCGGAAGGAUCAUUACCGAUGUAGUAUCAUCCAUGACCAUACACCACACAGGUUGGUGGUUUGCCGUGUGAACCGUACUAACUACUUUUAGGGGUCGGCCGGCCAGGCCGUUAAAUGGCGAAUCGGACGUGACGCCCGGCCGUCCGCCUUUAGGGUUAGGUCUAGGUCUUCUAGGUCUAGGUCUAGGUCGCGUCUAGGUCGCGGCCGCCUCGCCAGCCCCGCCUGCGGUUUUUUCUCAACGUACGCGUCUGAUAAAGUGUCUUCUUCCGUCUGCCAGACGGAGGAGGAAAGAGAAAGCAAAAAGCGAGAGAGACAACUUUUGACGGUGGAUCUCUUGGCUCACGCAUCGAUGAAGAACGCAGCCAGCUGCGAUAAGUAGUGUGAAUUGCAGAAUUCAGUGAAUCAUCGAAUCUUUGAACGCAAAUGGCGCUCUUGGGUUCUCCCAGGAGCAUGUCUGUCUGAGUGUCGGAUAUCAUCCAUCGCAGGCAAAUGCUUGCGGCGUUGAGGCGUCACGGCCGCCGGGAGUCGGUCGGCCGUGUCCCUUGAAAGGCAGAGAGACUCGCUGCGGCGGUUUUCCGUGGGUUACGUUACGUUACGUUUCCCGCGGCGCAUCAGCGGAGGCCAAAAGCGUCGGCAGUCCUCCGCGGGAUGUAUGCCGCCCCGCCGUCAGAGUCGCACGGGCGAAAGGUGUGUGUGUGUCAAGCACAUCCCUCUCUUUCUCUUGACCUCAGAUCAGGCAAGGCUACCCGCUGAAUUUAAGCAUAUUAAUAAGCGGAGGAAAAGAAACUAACAAGGAUUCCCUCAGUAACGGCGAGUGAAGCGGGAUGAGCUCAAAUUUGAAAUCUCCGGUGCUUGCAUCGGCGAGUUGUAAUUGCGAGAAGCACUUUCUAGGCGGAUCGGCCGUGCCUAAGUUGCUUGGAACAGCACGUCGCAGAGGGUGACAACCCCGUCUGUG